AAUGUAUUGUCUAUGGCACCUCAAAUGUGUCUAAUCUUGGAAGCUAAGCAAAGAUGGGACUGGUUAGUACUUGGAUGGGAGACCACCUGGGAAUAUCAGGUACAGUU
rnacentral:rRNA from 1 species